GACGAACGCUGGCGGCGUGCCUAAUACAUGCAAGUCGGACGCAGUCGCGUACGGGUGAGUAACGCGUAGGUCACUGCCUAUUAGAGGGGGAUAACUACUGUAAAUGAUAGCUAAUACCGCAUACUAGUAGAUGGACCUGCGUUGUAUUAGCUAGUAGGUCGGGUAAUGGCCUACCUAGGCGACGAUACAUAGCCGACCUGGGAGGGUGAACGGCCCAACUGGGACUGGGACAAGGCCCAGACUCCUACGGGAGGGAGGAGGAGGGGAUCAUCGGCAAAGGGGGGAAAGCUGACCGAGCAACGCCGGGGGAGAGAAAGAGGUUUUCGGAUCGUGAAGCUCUGUUGUUAAGGAAGCGGUACUUGACCAGAAAGGGACGGCUAACUACGUGCCAGCAGCCGCGGUAAUAC
rnacentral:rRNA from 1 species